rnacentral:rRNA from 1 species
AGUGAACGCUGGCGGUAGGCCUAACACAUGCAAGUCGAACGGCAGCACAGUAAGAGCUUGCUCUUACGGGUGGCGCGUGGCGGACGGGUGAGGAAUACAUCGGAAUCUACUUUUUCGUGGGGGAUAACGUAGGGAAACUUACGCUAAUACCGCAUACGACCUACGGGUGAAAGCAGGGGAUCUUCGGACCUUGCGCGAUUGAAUGAGCCGAUGUCGGAUUAGCUAGUUGGCGGGGUAAAGGCCCACCAAGGCGACGAUCCGUAGCUGGUCUGAGAGGAUGAUCAGCCACACUGGAACUGAGACACGUUCCAGACUCCUACGGUGGGCAGCAGUGGGGAAUAUUGGACAAUGGGCGCAAGCCUGAUCCAGCCAUACCGCGUGGGUGAAGAAGGCCUUCGGGUUGUAAAGCCCUUUUGUUGGGAAAGAAAAGCAGCAGGUUAAUACCCCGCUGUUCUGACGGUACCCAAAGAAUAAGCACCGGCUAACUUCGUG